AACGCUAGCUACAGGCUUAACACAUGCAAGUCGAGGGGCAGCGCAGUGUAGCAAUACAUGGGCGGCGACCGGCGCACGGGUGCGUAACGCGUAUCCAACCUUCCCGUUACUCAGGGAUAGCCUUCCGAAAGGGAGAUUAAUACCUGAUGGUGUUCAAAUUCCGCAUGUUAUUUGAACUAAAGAUUUAUCGGUAACGGAUGGGGAUGCGUGACAUUAGAUAGUAGGCGGGGUAACGGCCCACCUAGUCAACGAUGGAUAGGGGUUCUGAGAGGAAGGUCCCCCACAUUGGAACUGAGACACGGUCCAAACUCCUACGGGAGGCAGCAGUGAGGAAUAUUGGUCAAUGGGCGAUGGCCUGAACCAGCCAAGUAGCGUGAAGGAUGACUGCCCUAUGGGUUGUAAACUUCUUUUAUAAAGGAAUAAAGUCGGGUAUGCAUACCCGUUUGCAUGUACUUUAUGAAUAAGGAUCGGCUAACUCCGUGCCAGCAGCCGCGGUAAUACGGAGGAUCCGAGCGUUAUCCGGAUUUAUUGGGUUUAAAGGGAGCGUAGAUGGAUGUUUAAGUCAGUUGUGAAAGUUUGCGGCUCAACCGUAAAAUUGCAGUUGAUACUGGAUGUCUUGAGUGCAGUUGAGGCAGGCGGAAUUCGUGGUGUAGCGGUGAAAUGCUUAGAUAUCACGAAGAACUCCGAUUG
rnacentral:rRNA from 1 species